UACAGAGGUCUCAAGCGUUGUUCGGAUUCAUUGGGCGUAAAGGGUGCGUAGGCGGCGCGGUAAGUCGGGUGUGAAAUCUCGGAGCUUAACUCCGAAACUGCAUUCGAUACUGCCGUGCUUGAGGACUGGAGAGGAGACUGGAAUUUACGGUGUAGCGGUGAAAUGCGUAGAUAUCGUAAGGAAGACCAGUGGCGAAGGCGGGUCUCUGGACAGUUCCUGACGCUGAGGCACGAAGGUCAGGGGUGCAAACGGG
rnacentral:rRNA from 1 species